CGAACGAAGCGGCAACAGCCCAAAUUUGAAAUCUGGCGUAAGCCCGAGUUGUAAUUUGGAGGUAGACUGUUUGGAUAUCUGUGUUGACUAAGUGCCUUGGAAUAGGCCGCCGUAGAGGGUGAGAGCCCCGUGAGUUGACUAGCAGUUAUUCAGUUUGUCUUCCGACGAGUCGAGUUGUUUGGGAUUGCAGCUCUAAGUGGGUGGUAUAUUCCAUCUAAGGCUAAAUAAUAGCGAGAGACCGAUAGCAAACAAGUACAGUGAUGGAAAGAUGAAAAGAACUUUGAAAAGAGAGUGAAAUAGUACGUGAAAUUGUUGAAAGGGAAGGGUAUCUGAUCCGACGUGGUAUUUAGAUGUCGCCUGCCCUUGUGGCGGGUGCUCCAUUUUUUUACUGGGCCAGCGUGAGUUAGAAGGGGAUGAAAAGGCGGGAACGAAUGUAGCCUUCCUCCCUUUGGGAGAGGGGUGUUAUAGCAUUCCCGUUUAGUUCCUUUCUG
rnacentral:rRNA from 1 species